CUGCGCCCCAUCUCUCCUUUCUCACUCUCUCUCUCGCCUUUCCCUCUCUGUUCGGCUGAGGGCGGCGCCGCCUCCGGCGCGCCGCCUCGCCGUCGCCUCCUCCCCUCCUCUCCUUCGGCCACCGCGACCAGCCACCAGGUGUCGCCACCCUCGACUCCCUCGCUCCCUCGGCCGCUGGAACCAGGCGCAGCAGCGCGACCACGCCGCCGCUGUCAUCUCCUCCGCCUCUCCUCCACGGCAGAUCCGCCGCCGCCGUUCAACGCCACGGCCACCCCUUGUUCUCCCUCUCUCUCUAUCCCUAACUCUCAACUUCAUCUCGAUCUCUCUCUCUAACCUCACUGCCACACACGCCGGCAGACACGGCGUAAGCCGCGCCGCCGCGUCGCCCUCCCUCUCGCUGGCUGCACAGGCCCACGGCCGUGGAGGAGCCGCCGUCGCCGGAGACAGCCCAGAUCGGAACCACGGCAGGUUCACCGCCGCCGCUCCGUCGCCGGCGACGAGCCACCGCGGCUGCCGCCUCCCUCUGAUCUCGACUCACACACACACAGCAGAGUCAGCCCCCCCCCCUUCAAAGGUUUCAAGCCUCAAAUUCAGUCGAACACUUAGUACAUAGGAUUUGAGCAAAAAUCAAAUACUGUAAUUGCUUAAUGAAAUCUGAAAUUCUUUUCUUGAAACUGAACUAGUCUGUAAAUUUCAGUUCAUAUGUGCAUAUGUAAACAUGUUGUGAAAUA